AGCAAUGGCCAUGCCAUCCUGAACGUGCCUGAUCUUGGAAGCUAAGCAGGGUCGUGCCAGGUUAAUACUUGGAUGGGAGACCACCUUGGAAUACGAGGUGCUAUAGGUG
rnacentral:rRNA from 1 species